CAGUAGCGUAUAUUAAAGUUGUUGCAGUUAAAAAGCCCGUAGUUGGAUUUCUGACGUGAUUCGCCCGGCCCGCUCGGUUUCCCCGAUGUGAGUGCUGGCGCGAGUCCGCCAUCCUUCUAGAGAAUCGUGACUCCUGCUCACGCGGUGCGGUUGCGAGGCUCUAGAUCUUUUACUUUGAAAAAAUUAGAGUGUUCAAAGCAGGCUUGCGUUAUGAAUACAUUAGCAUGGAAUAAUAAAAUAGGACUUUGGCCUAUUUGUUGGUUUCGGGUUGAAGUAAUGAUUGAUAGGGAUAGUUGGGGGUGCUAGUAUUGAGUGGUCAGAGGUGAAAUUCUUGGAUUCACUCAAGACUAACUUAUGCGAAAGCAUUCGCCAAGGAUGUCUUCUUUAA
rnacentral:rRNA from 1 species